CAACAAGUAGGUGCACAAUACCGUAGAAAACCGGGAAGAUAUUUUUAGCAGAAACGUGUCUAAAAACAGACUCCCAUAAUAAAUUGCUAGUUAGCAUAACACAUGAUCAGCUGCAAGCAUGCUCGAAAUACAAAUUCGUAAUGAUAGCUAGAUGUGUAAUAGAGAGCUUUCACACUCGAUAGAACUGCGUGUCCCUAGCAUAGUGUCGAUCACAACCAAACGAGAGGAACAACAAACGGAGGAGGAGAACUACGUUGACGUCGUGCGUGAUGACGUGCAGCUUUAUCGAAAUGCUGAGAAAGGUAUUCCGGAUUCGGAGUCUCCGUCCAAGAGACACAAAGCGAAACACGCAAAUAAACUACAAUGAAAGUGCAUAAAUUGAAGGUGGAGUGAAACGGAAGCAAAUGAACUCAACGACGCAUCGUGCGAGUGCUGGGCAGCGCGCUGCUGGCCGGCCCAACAUGUGUCCAAUGAUUCUACGCUUCUACUUUACGGAUACCCUUCUUCAGUCGUGCAGCCUUUUGUUCGCAGUAUAGAUCACGCACAUUUCCCACUGA